CUCAAAAAAACAAAGCAAAGUUCUUUCCCCCCUUUUAAUGAACCCAGAAACCGACCACUGUCCCGGCCGGUGAACGGCUGUGCUGAGGCCACGGCUCCAUCACUGGCAGUGGUCGGAGCGAGAAAAGGAGGGGUUUUUAACCCCGCUCUCGAUCCCCACCUAAAGAUCUGCCCUUUUAGUCCUGGAAAGAUGAAAAAGGAGGGGGCUUUUGUACCCUUACCAGUCGAUUCCAACGCCGAAAAUAGUCUUCGGCGACAGGCUUUCGGGAUAGGUCAUUGACAUGCGCCGGUGAUGGGACAGUGGCGGUGACAGACGCGCGGCAGUGGCGGUUCGUAGGUCAAGGGUCGGAAGAGUCAGAAGGCCCUAGGUGCUAAGGUUUUUCUGUUUCUUUGUUUUUUUGAAAAUGGGUUUUGGGCUUGUAAUUGUAUUGGGCCUGGGUUAAUUUGAUUGGGCCAUGGGGAUUUUGGGCUUGUAAUUGGGUCAAAAUUUUGUAAAUGGGCUGUUAGUAAUUUGGUUUAUUUUCUGGUAUGGGCCCGGACAAAAAUAGGCUUGUACAAGCGACAUGUAAGAUUUUAAUUUAGUUUUUAUCAUGAAUAUUUCAUUUUUUACUA